AGCCAAUAAAGAGAAACUCGUCUGCCUGACGUGCCUGAAAUUUUGACUCAAGCCUGAUAGUAAGGUGAGCAAAGUUUCAGGUGUGUCAGUCUGACGGUCUGACAACUGUGUGGGAU
rnacentral:precursor_RNA from 9 species